rnacentral:rRNA from 1 species
CCAGACUCCUACGGGAGGCAGCAGUGGGGAAUUUUGGACAAUGGGCGCAAGCCUGAUCCAGCCAUGCCGCGUGUCUGAAGAAGGCCUUCGGGUUGUAAAGGACUUUUGUUAGGGAAGAAAAGGAUAGUGUUAAUACCAUUAUCUGCUGACGGUACCUAAAGAAUAAGCACCGGCUAACUACGUGCCAGCAGCCGCGGUAAUACGUAGGGUGCGAGCGUUAAUCGGAAUUACUGGGCGUAAAGCGAGCGCAGACGGUUUAUUAAGCAAGAUGUGAAAUCCCCGAGCUUAACUUGGGAACUGCGUUUUGAACUGGUAAGCUAGAGUAUGUCAGAGGGGGGGUAGAAUUCCACGUGUAGCAGUGAAAUGCGUAGAGAUGUGGAGGAAUACCGAUGGCGAAGGCAGCCCCCUGGGAUAAUACUGACGUUCAUGCUCGAAAGCGUGGGUAGCAAACAGGAUUAGAUACCCUGGUAGUCCACGCCCUAAACGAUGUCAAUUAGCUGUUGGGCAGCUUGACUGCUUAGUAGCGAAGCUAACGCGUGAAAUCGACCGCCUGGGGAGUACGGUCGCAAGAUUAAAACUCAAAGGAAUUGACGGGGGCCCCGCACAAG